rnacentral:rRNA from 1 species
UACGUAGGGGGCUAGCGUUGUCCGGAAUCAUUGGGCGUAAAGAGCGUGUAGGCGGCUCGGUAAGUCCGCUGUGAAAGUCCAGGGCUCAACCCUGGAAUGCCGGUGGAAACUGUCGAGCUAGAGUCCGGAAGAGGAGACUGGAAUUCCUGGUGUAGCGGUGAAAUGCGCAGAUAUCAGGAGGAACACCGGUGGCGAAGGCGGGUCUCUGGGCCGAUACUGACGCUGAGGAGCGAAAGCGUGGGGAGCGAACAGG